rnacentral:rRNA from 1 species
AACAAACGCUGGCGGCGUGCAUAACACAUGCAAGUCUAACGGGAAAGUCGGCUUCGGCUGGCAAGUACCGUGGCGAACGGGUGAGUAACACGUGGGUAAUCUAACCUCGAGUUUGGGAUAACCCUGCGAAAGCGGGGCUAAUACCGAAUAAGACCACGCUUGGUUCGCCAAGUGCGGUAAAAGGCGGCCUCUUCUUGAAAGCUGUCACUUGAGGAUGAGCCCGCGGCCUAUUAGCUAGUUGGUGGGGUAAUGGCCUACCAAGGCGACGAUGGGGAGCCGGGUGGAGAGGGUGUACGGCCACACUGGGAAUGAGAUACGGGCCAGACUCCUACGGGAGGCAGCAGUGGGGAAUUUUGCGCGAUGGGGGAAACCCUGACGCAGCAACGCCGCGUGAGUGAUGAAGGCCUUCGGGUCGUAAAGCUCUUUUAGUGGGGAAGAAUCCCACCCGGGCUAAUACCUCGGGUGUCUGACGGUACCCACAGAAAAAGUUCCGGCUAACUACGUGCCAGCAGCCGCGGUAAUAC